rnacentral:ribozyme from 11 species
AAAAGGAUAGCAAUCGAAGAGAAUGACGCAGAUAGAAAAUGAAUCAAACUCCUUUUCGCUUUUGCAUUUGAAUUAGCCUUCUUUUUUGAUUUUUUCUUUUUGUUGAUAUUUCUUGUUAAAACGGCAUUGCUUGCAUGAGACAAACCAUUU